rnacentral:rRNA from 1 species
GUAAGGAAUAUUGGUCAAUGGACGCAAGUCUGAACCAGCCAUGCCGCGUGAAGGAUGAAGGUCCUCUGGAUUGUAAACUUCUUUUAUAGGGGGAGAAACAUCCCGAUUAUUCGGGACUUGACGGUACCCUAUGAAUAAGCACCGGCUAACUCCGUGCCAGCAGCCGCGGUAAUACGGAGGGUGCAAGCGUUAUCCGGAUUUACUGGGUUUAAAGGGUGCGUAGGCGGGUUGGUAAGUCUGUGGUGAAAUCUCUGAGCUUAACUCAGAAACUGCCGUGGAUACUAUCAAUCUUGAAUAUCGUUGAGGUUAGCGGAAUAUGUCAUGUAGCGGUGAAAUGCUUAGAUAUGACAUAGAACACCUAUUGCGAAGGCAGCUGACUAAGCGAUUAUUGACGCUGAGGCACGAAAGCGUGGGGAUCAAACAGGAUUAGAAACCCUAGUAGUCC